CCAGAGUUGUGCAAGUUGGAAGCCAAAAUUCCACAGGUGCCCACUGAAAGUGAUGCUGAGAUACAAAACCUGGUGUGGAGGCUGCAAUAAGGGUCCUCCUUGGGUGACUUUGUGGCCGUCUACUGCCACCCUCUAUGUUUCAUCUGAUUCGUGUAGGAAAAAUACCAAGAAGGUGGCCACUGCAAGUCUGGAAGAGAGUCCUCACAAGAACCCAAUCAUGCUG